AUUAACCCUCUCUCAGUAUUCCUAUGACAGAUCAUAAUCGUAUCCAUGUGUACAUUGCUACAGUAACUAACAUGAACUAACAUGAUCAAGCACCAUUCUGACCCCUUUUCAUAGGAGUCUCCCAUACCAUGUCACCCUUGCACCACUGUUGUGAUUAUUUUUAUCUCCCCCACGGAAGAUGGGCACAAAAUGAAGAGAAAUUAGUCUAAUGUCACAAUAUCGUCAAAUGGCAGAACGUCCGGAGUUGCACGGUAGACCACAUUUGAUCAGUGCUAUCACCUCGAGUAACUUCCUCGACCUCCCGAUGUGAACUCCUCCCUGCCAUCAUGUUUAGGUUGGUAUUUUUUUGAAUCGCAAGGGACAUUUCAUUUGAUGCAUGCCACACUCGCUUUAUUUACACAUCACAGGAGCGCCAGCUGUUUUGUCCCUUUCUCGGUUAUUAGAAAAUCAAAGAGCUUCAUUUCAUAGGAGCAAACCAAGUGUGAAUCCAGAACGUUUUACUCUGAUGGUAAGAACAGGAUCCUGGAGUUUGAAUCUCCCUGAAACUUGAUGUUAGGGUUAGGAGGGGAAAAAAAAAACACCAACAAAAACAGCUCUGUAGCAAGGGGAGGGCGCGACUUUCAGGAGAGGCUAAUGCAACCCAAAAUGGCGCGCACCGGUCCUUCCUCAUGUUUAUCUCACGCAGCUGACUCAACUUCUGACUCAGAGAAAUGUUCUUUCUCGAAAGGCUUGCUUCUCAUCAGAGAUAGGGGAAGUUUCAAUCUGGAGCUAAAGAGAAAGUACCUUAGAGAAUGAACACUGUUUUCUUUACUUUGAUUCCCUUCCCAUAAAGGGAGUAUGCAAUGUUAAUGAAUUAAACCCUGAUGCCACCUUCCGCCUAGCACUUACUCACUAGCAAGUCUUCAACGAGUAUGAAUUCUCUUUUCUACACGCGAGUCAUAAAAAAGUUAACAUCUGCUAUAAUCUGAUCAUCUGUCUAGGUACACAGUUUUUAUAGCAGGAAGGGGGGAAAACGCAAAAUCCCUUAAUGAUGAAUUGCUGAUGUGAGGCAGAAUCAUGAGGACCAUUUUAGGCAUGUGUUUUAUGUUCCUUGUUAUCCAACAUUACUUAUGGAAGCCCCUGAAUUACACCCAUUCUUAAUAUUAACAACAUAAAGAAGAGUAAAGAGUCGCAAGUGGGUUCCUUUGGGUGAAUUGACCGGAACAUUUCUGAGUCUGCUCUGUAGGGACCAGAUAGACGCCCAACACUGGCCCUUCACUACCUGGAGACAGUUGCCAGUGACCAUUGUGGAAAAUGUAGGGUCUUGUUUCAGCUUUCAGAUACCUUCUAUCAGUAUGAACAAGAGGCUCAUUUUUGUGGGAGGAAUUUCUCAGAGAAAAGGUGCAUAGCCGUGCCUUUACCAGAAAUGUGUGAACUGUUCAGAUACAACUUAGGUAAUCAGUAUGUAUACUAUAUACGGUUGGAUCUAAUUUAUGAUCCAUAACAUUCCCGAUAAACUUUCUCGAGUUAUUCAUGCCAUGGUGAUAUGAUUAUCAUGGGAAGAGACUUAACCCCUCUGCCCCGCCCUCCCCUGAAACAGCCUCUGUCACUCAGAUGUGGAUAAUGUGACAUUGUUGGAGGGGUCUGUGAUGCCAAGUGUAUAGGCUGUGACAUAAUAAUCUCAGGUUCUCUGCAUGCUGAUGCUAAGCCGCCAGAUGGCUCUUUCCUCAUGAAACUAACCAGUCAAGCACCUCGUAAGGCUCUUUUCAUGGAGCUGGGUUGCUGAAAUUGUGAGUGGUAGGUAAUUCCAAGUACACAGAACUUGUUUUACUCAUCAUAAAAAUUCAAUAAAACAGUCCUCUCUCCCUUCAUAUCUCUCUCUCUCUCUCUCUCUCUCUCUCUCUCUCUCUCUCUCUCUCUCUAGCUCUCUCUCUCUCGCUCUCUCUCUCCCCCCCUCAUGGUCUUUUAUCCUCCAUGCUGUCCAAUGACAUCAGGACUGAUGUAAGAAAAAACUGAGCCCCCGGUUCGACUUGAGUGUGUCCCCCACCUCCAAUCUGAUGAUGUCACUCUUGCUUCAGAGUGCUAUAAAUAGCGUGCUGCUUAUCUGAUACAUGGGACUCGCUGUGGGUAGGGAAUCCCCCCCACAAUCCCAAAAGUGCUGGAUGGCAGAGUUGGGAUUUAAAAGUAACUGCUUCAAUCGUAAAUCCAUGAGUGGCUAAAUCACCACUCUAGUUCUUCAUGACAUGGGCCUAAAUGUGACCCUCUUAAAAAAGGUCUAACGGUGACUGAUUUCUGGUGAGACCCUCCCAAUAUGGCUACCUUCUCUACUCUUAAGACGUUGAGAUGGUUCAUUUACCCUGAAAGACAAAAUAAAUCUGGCACUAGCCAGCACUCUUCCCUUUUCAUGAUCCACUGGACUUUUGAGGGUCUCCAGUGACUCUGGUGUUUCACUGUUAGGCCUCAUUUCUCUACUGCAGACCUUUGCGGUGUCUAGAGACCAUUCUCUCUCCGUGUGUCACAAUAGCACACCCACACCAUUUUAAGUUCUUUUGGGUUUGGAAGGAUAGAUCAUGAUCAUAUCCAACCUCAUAUCUGACAGCCUCCAAAACCCCUAACAAAACAGAGUAAGUUGAAUUAAUGCAGGUAGAACUCUACAUGUAGCUCGGCAUACACGAUGUGACAAGUCACUGCAUUCUGUCCUUUCCUGUUCCCCAUCUAUUAGAGUAAUAAUAGGCAUGGUUAUCUUCUUCCAUAAAAAGUCUUUCAGAGGACAAAUGUUCUCUGAUAACUAAAUUUAUUUUUGUUACUGAACAUCUAUGAAUGUGUUCAUUUAUAAAUAUACUGGCUGGGAAUAAAUACGUCGAUGGAAAAUAAUUUUUUUCAAAGUAUACUUAAGUUGCUAUUAUAGGAACAUACAUCUUCUGCUGCACCCAGAUUCUAGUUUAGAUUACAGAUUUUUCAGUGAUGGUUUACAUCUAAGCAGUCUUUAUAGAUGGUAUGUAGGGAGGCUUCAAAUGCUGCUCCCACUCAAAAAAAGUGGCACUCAAAAGUGUCUUCUACUUUUGUCCAAGUUGCACGGUGUAGUGAAGGCAGACAUCACAGGAGGAAGUAGGUAUCACCCAGAAAAAGAAGUCCUGGUUUCAAAUCAAUGAUAAUCUCAAAAUUUUAUCCCCCACCGAUGCUCCCCUUUGGUAAGGCAAAAUUGAAAAUAUAAUAAACAAAUAAAUAAGUAGUGAGACAAUGUAAAAUUUCAUAUCAAAAUGAAGCAUUUGCUAGAUCUUUCCAAAGCCACCAUCAAUGUAUUUUCAUUGCAUGAAAAUGGCUUUUUAUUCUGACCGUUCUGUACAUGCAUGCACUGCUCUUCGAUCACAGCAACCCUCGUUUGUCGGGUGGACAGGACUGAGUUUGUGCCUCUUCAGAGGCAGAUCUUCGAAUGUGAUAUUUAAACUUUGCUCCAGAGAACCCUUCUUAGAUUUUACGACAACAGAGGCAGUCCUUUGCUCAUUUUCAUAUUGGCUGUAGUGAAAAGGCUGGAAUUACGACGCAGAAAAGAGAAGCUUUUAUGGAAUACCAUGAUCCCGAAUCAGCUGAAAUAAAAUUUUAUGCAGUAGUCUAUUCUUCAGGCCUGAUGUGAUUUAUAUGCCUACGAUGGCACUUAUACAUCCACUUUAGAGCUGAUUAACUAUUUGGUCAAAUCUGAUAUUGGUGGAUAUUUGUGGGGCAACACAGUUCACCAGAAUCUUGAUCAGGAGCAAACCCCACAACCCCACAACCCCACAACCUAGUGCCUAGUGUCUUCCUGCUUGAUUAGAACAUUGUUUUACCAGCAGGAUAUCCCACUUGGGGACUAAUAGGGUAACUAUAUCUACGUCUACAUCUACAUACAUACAUACAUACACACACACAUAUAUGUGUAUAUAUAUAUAUAUAUAUAUAUAUAUAUUAGUUUCCAUGGUUAAAAUAUCCUACUUUACAAUGCCAGAGAGCUUGGGUCUGACAGUGUCAGAAAUAAGCAGAAAAUGAUCACCAAAGUACUGAAGUAAGAGGACGAUCUGAAGUCCCUGUGUCCAUCAUGUAUGGGUAAACAUUAAAUGACAUAGCGAGAAGAUGCAUCUAUUGAUAACUGUAAGCGUUGUCUCAUAAAUGCAUUGGUUUCGGUACUCAUAAUUCCUGGAAGAGGCUCAAGUCCUAUGGAAAGCAUAAAAUCACAAAGUAGAGUUAUGUUUAACUCUGUCUCUAAGAUAUUUAACAUUCCUUUCUCUCUGAUGGAAACCGCCAUCAAAUACAGAUUUCUCCUUCUUUGAUAUCACUUUCCCACUUAUGCAACUUGUAGGAAAGGGGACAGUGAGUCACUGACUCAUAGGUGAAGUGACUAUGCACUCCACCUCUCUGCGUCUAGUACUCAAAAGGAUCCAGCAGUCUUCAGAUUUAAUAUAUACAGGAAAGACUGGCAAAAACCUCCUUAGAAAUUAUAACCAUUUGCUUGCUUGUUUUUUACGAUUCAUGAAAACCUCUCUGGUGCUCAGUUACAUGGUUUUUUUUUACUGGCUUUUGUUGGUUUUGUUUGUUUGUUUGUUUGUUUGUUUUUGCUUUUGCAGUUGUUUUUGAUUUCUUGAAGCAGGAUCUCACAAUCUAGCCCUGGCUACCCUGGAACUUGCUAUGUAGACCAGGCUGGCCUCCAACUCACAGAGAUGUGCCUGCCUCUGUCUCCCGCAUGCUGGGGUUUAAGGCCUGUCCCACGGUGCCUGGCUACUUUUUUCGUUUUGAAUAAUGUCGUUCCUAAACACAGGCAUCUCUGUCCUCUAAAUGAUGUGCUAAGUAAUACGCUGGUUUUCCCACUAUGUUAUUCUUUAUUAAAUGUGACUCUUUAAAUUUUAAUCUUUAAAUCUUAAUCAAAUUAUUCUCUCAUAUAUUUUCCUAGGAAAGUUUAAUCUCAACUCAGAUAAAAGUAGAAGCUGUUAGAUUUCUUUUUUUAUUUAUAUCUGAAAUUUGGAUGAUAGACUGAAUACUCAUCAAAGCCGGAAUUAGUCUUAACACUGCAUCAAAACACAUAUUUUUAUGUUUGCGUAAUUAAGUUUUAAUAAACAUGUUUGAUGGCUACUUGGAAAACAUAAUUUUUCGAUGCAGGAAUGACAUUUUAUAUGCUGUGAUAUAAAGAGACUGUGCAAGACCAUUUGUUUUUAAUUAUAUUUUGAUUAUGAUAAGCAUUUGUUAUUUUCCUAAGUAAAGAUUCAAUUAAUCUUAUAAAUAGAUUUUCUAAAUUUGAGGCUUAAAGGCAAUAUGUCAGGCACAACUCUGUACGUGUAUUCCAGUCAGUUCGGGCCUUUUCUGACGUCUUCUAGAAUAUUUGUUAUUGUGCGUAACAUUUUAAUUAGGACCAUAGUUUUGAAAGUGCUUACCAGAUUUCUGUAACACAAGUGUUCUGUUAAAUGAAUCGUUAGUCAUUAAGAAAUUAUGUCUGGAAUUAUUUUUUUAGGUUGGCAGUUAAGUUUUUAUUUCUUUCUUGGCCUUUUACAUUUUUUAGACAUAGCACUUUUUUAUUACCGGUUGAAAUCUUGGAUUAUUCAGUAUGAAAUUAGGAGGUUUUAGAUCUACAUAAACUUACAUGGCUCAAGGAAACUGUAACUGAUGUAAAUUUGAGACGGAGGCCAUUGUACCUGGCCUUUUGCACCUGCUAUGCUAGGCAGGAAAAUUUCUAAUACCUAUUUGAGAAAAAUUCGAGUAAAUUCCUUUGAAAUGCAUUGCAGUCAUCACUAAGCAUUGCGUAUUAUAACAGCGAUCGCUUCUGUCAGCCAUUUCUAAAUGACCGACUUUCAACAUGAAAUGGACGCACGUGAGCACCUGGUUUCCUACCAGUGAUGAAACCUUAGUGUGUCAGUAAUGGGAGAUUCUGCAGCAGGUGAUGGUAAUAAACUUCAUUACUAGAUCUCAAGCACAGGAGUUACAUUGGUCUGUACUCGCCAGCAUAAUUGUUUACUUUAUAACGUUUCAAUGCAAUUAUAGACCUGUGUUAUACUUCCUGAAGUGUCAGUAGAGUCUUGGAAUUCUAACAUGACUCUGAAAGUUACAAACAAGGUAUAUUUAGAGCUCAGAGAUCACACAUCCAAUAGUUUUUUCUUCUUUGUCGCAGGAGAGCUUUUUUCCUUACAAUUUAUUUGUCAUUGGUUUGAUUGAGUUUUUAUUUCGUUUUCAAACUAACGAAAGUUCUUUUUUUUUUCCCUAAAUAUAGUUUUAGAAGCAUCUUCUGAACGACGAGACAAGGAUGUGGCUUUAGGAGGGUGGCGUGGGCCAGGGUGGCAUAGCCAACUCAGUAGAGUUGCCUUUUCUUCGUAGUCUGAAAGCCAUGGCAUUGGGAAUAGUCCUUGGCUCAUAUGGGGACACAAGGCCACAGCACAAGUUCUGUAUUCGUUUCCAAUUGCAAAGAGGAGUCUGGAGAAAAACAAUGAAUUAAAAAUAAACAAAGACCCCUGAAGCAAGCAGCUGACAGAAGAAUUAUGGGGGUUAGUUUGGGAAAUUUGACAAAGGGCAACUGCUGAAUUAGCCAACUCCUCCAUCUCAAAAAAUAGCUGGGUAUUUUUGAAUGUGUCCACUAAAACCCCUAAUCCUAAAUCUGCCAAAUAAUGGACGAGGCUAAGACUUGGCAAGACUCUGGCUUCUCUUAAAAAAUAAAUUGCAUAACUCAGAAAGUAUGUGGUCCUUCUUGUGAAGGGGUUAGCGCCUCACGGCAGGGUCUAGCUUCCCAACUCUGUAUGUGUGAGAGAAUUCAUUUUUGCUGUGUUGUAUCAAGUGAGAGACUGAGAAUCUCACAAUGCAGACUUAUGAAUAUGACCCUAUUUUGUUUCCCCUUGGGUGAGGGCUAGCAUUUGUUUGUUUUGUUUUGUUGUUGUUGUCAUUGUUGUUGGACAAUAUAACAAGGUUUUCUAAACAUUUAUAAGAAGGGAAUUAAUUGUUUUAAAACAAAAUUUAAAAUGAAAAGAAAAAGACUGGGGGCCUGGAGAGGUUACUCAGAGUAUAUAGUGGUCUUUCAGAGGACCCAGGCUUGGUUCGCAGCCACUUGUAAUUCUGUCUGGAAGGGACUCAACAUACUCAUCUAGCCUUAGUCGACACCCGCAUUCACACACAUAUACCCACACAAGAAACACACACAAUUUUAAUUGAAAAUGAAACUGUAGCAAGGGAGAAGGGGGCGUUAAAGUUUUGUGUAUUAUGUAAGCAUUCAAGUGUAAUCAGCUCUACUGACAUUGAAAAAUAAGAACUUAGUUCUGAACAAUGGUAAAGUUAAUAGGAUAGUAAUCAUUGUAUUACUCCAAGGUUGUUGUUACCUCCUAACCUGUCAAAUGGUUGCCAUCCUCAUUCAGCAGAAGGAAGUGGCAGAUUAUAUAGCAUGAAUGUGUCUUCCAACACCCCACAGCUCUUGCUGGACAGGUUGGUGUGAGAAGGUAAGCACACCAGCAAGGAAGCCAUAGCAAGAAACGAGUCAAGAGAGAUUUUACGUUGGAAAUGUAGAGGAAGGGGAAGCAGUCUCCAAUUCACAACUUCGCAGGACACUUGCAAAGGAAUUAGAUGAAGUGUCAAGAGGCUGCAGAUGGAGGACGGCCAUGUAUGUAAGGCAAAACCUUUCUGCUUAUUCAUUUCCCGGCAUUCUUCCUUCAGAGUACAAUUCCAUUAAAGGGGACCUAGCUGGAGAUACGCUGUUUUUUCACCUGUCUCUCGUUCUUUAGGUCCUCUGUGAUUUGUGGAAAUUGAUAAUCCAGCUAAAUUGAGGCAUCGUGGCCCUCAUUUGGACAUCAGAGUUUUUUUGCGCCCCCUCAGGAAAAUGAAGAUUGCCAAAGUUUGUUUCCCAGAGAUUUUCAUCAAUUGAAGUCUUGCUUUUACUUCUCUGACUGGAAAUCAUAGAUGGCAUUUUAAGUGUAAAGUAAAAUACUGUCCUCAAGCCUCCUCGUACAAAUGUACUAUUUGUCUUCAUGUGAUUGUUUAAUCUUGUUUUGACAGCAAACAGAACCCUAGAAUUUGUUGGGCUUUCAUUUCAAAUUAGCUACUGUCCUAAGUAACUAAUUUCCACUACUAUCUACCAGGCUAAAAUGGGCGUGUUUGCUUGACAGAGGAUGUUAGACUAUCUACUGGGAGACACAAAAAGACUUGCCUUGGCUUUGAAAGAAGAUGGGUUGGAAGCUGGAAAGUGAUACCUCCCCCACCCCCUCGCCCCAUUUCUUCAGAUCUGCAGGGUUCCAUUUAUCUUUUUUAUAAAGACUUUAUCUGAGGAAAAAUUAAAAGUUUUUUUUUAAAAAAA